ensembl:snoRNA SNORA72 Small nucleolar RNA SNORA72
CUGCUAAUAUUCUCACUGUUCUGAUUUUGUAAUAAUCAGGGCAGGCUAAACAUUUGCUAAAUUAAGACUAGGCAUGUGUCCCCAGACCUAGUUCUUUACCUACCUAAGUCUGAUCUUAAAGGUGUUGGUGAUAAAC